UGUGGAAGCACAGUAAUGUGUGUAGCUAACCGAUACUAAUAGCUCGAUUGACUUACUUUGCUAUGAGAUUACAUAUGCAUAUAGUGUUAAUGCUAUAAGAGUGUAGUAUCUACUCACAAAGUUAUCAGGUUAAAUAGUUUUAUCAACUAAUAAAAAUGUUAUUGCAUAACUAAUGUUAUGCUGUAGCCCCUGCCACGAUAUCUAGCGAAAUUAUUUUGCUGAGUAUCGUAGUAAAAGUUAAGAUAUGAUGUUGAGAAUUUUUUUGAGUCGUGCAACAACAUUAACAGCAAACUAUAAUACAAAUCUAUC
rnacentral:misc_RNA from 1 species